rnacentral:rRNA from 1 species
ACGUGCUACAAUGGUUGGUACAAAGAGACGCAAUACGGCGACGUUAAGCAAAUCUCAAAAAACCAAUCCCAGUUCGGAUUGUAGGCUGCAACUCGCCUAC